GCUAUCGAGGUUCGACUAAGCCAUGCGAGUCGAAUGUAGCAAUACAUGGCGAACUGCUCAGUAACACGUGGACAACCUGCCCUUAGGACGGGGAUAAACCCGGGAAACUGGGUAUAAUACCCGAUAGGUCUCGAUUGCUGGAAUGCAUCGAGAUUUAAAGCUCCGGCGCCUAAGGAUGGGUCUGCGGCCUAUCAGGUAGUAGUGGGUGUAGCGUACCUACUAGCCUACGACGGGUACGGGUUGUGAGAGCAAGAGCCCGGAGAUGGAUUCUGAGACACGAAUCCAGGCCCUACGGGGUGCAGCAGGCGCGAAAACUUUACAAUGCUGGCAACAGCGAUAAGGGAACCUCGAGUGCCAGGUUACAAAUCUGGCUGUCGAGAUGCCUAAAAAGCAUUUCAUAGCAAGGGCCGGGCAAGACCGGUGCCAGCCGCCGCGGUAACACCGGCGGCUCGAGUGGUAACCGUUAUUAUUGGGUCUAAAGGGUCUGUAGCCGGCCGGAUAAGUCUCUUGAGAAAUCUGGCAGCUUAACUGUCAGGCUUUCAGGAGAUACUGUCUGGCUCGAGGCCGGGAGAGGUGAGAGGUACUUCAGGGGUAGGGGUGAAAUCUUGUAAUCCUUGAAGGACCACCAGUGGCGAAGGCGUCUCACCAGAACGGACCUGACGGCAAGGGACGAAAGCUAGGGGCACGAACCGGAUU
rnacentral:rRNA from 1 species